rnacentral:rRNA from 1 species
GACGGAAGGUGCAAGCGUUGCUCGGAAUCACUGGGCGUAAAGGAUGCGUAGGCGGCCGCGCAAGUCUGGCGUGAAAGCCCCGGGCUCAGCCCGGGAAGGGCGCUCGAAACGGCGCGGCUCGAGUGCCGGAGGGGAGAGUGGAAUUCCUGGUGUAGCGGUGAAAUGCGUAGAUAUCAGGAGGAACACCAAUGGCGAAGGCAGCUCGCUGGGACGUGACUGACGCUGAGACGCGAAAGCGUGGGGAGCAAACAGG